rnacentral:rRNA from 1 species
AUUGAACGCUGGCGGCAGGCCUAACACAUGCAAGUCGAGCGGAGCGGCGGACGGGUGAGUAAUGCCUAGGAAUCUGCCUGGUAGUGGGGGAUAACGUCCGGAAACGGGCGCUAAUACCGCAUACUAUCAGAUGAGCCUAGGUCGGAUUAGCUAGUUGGUGGGGUAAAGGCCUACCAAGGCGACGAUCCGUAACUGUUCUGAGAGGAUGAGCAGUCACACUGGAACUGAGACACGGUCCAGAAUCCUAAGGGAGGCAGGAGUGGGGAAUAUUGGACAAUGGGCUAAAGCCAGAACCGGCCAUGCGGCGUGAGUGAAGAAGGUGUUCGGAUUGUAAAGCACUUUAAGUUGGGAGGCGUUACCAACAGAAUAAGCACCGGCUAACUUCGUGCCAGCAGCCGCGGUAAUUC